rnacentral:lncRNA from 1 species
GUGUCUCUGCUUCUUAGCUGUCAGGACCUUUUUUUUUUUUCUCCUCUAUUUUAGUGCUGAGGAUCUGAGAUUCCCACGCAUAACCUUGUCAUGGAAUUCUGUGAAGGAGUAAUUUCUGUUUCUGGAUGUCCACAGACCUUGACUGUGCUACAAGUUCACAGCAGAGUGAGCAUAUGGAUAGCUAAAAAGUGUUGCUGUUCAUAUAUAAAGUAAAAACGAGGAGUGAAGAGGCACCAUGACAGUCUGUGGAGUACUGGAGAGUUUUCCUCAGCUUCGAGGAGCACAGAACCAUGAGGGUUGGAAGGGACCUCUGGAGAUCAUCUCAUCCAACCCUCCUGCCAAGCUUUUUUUGGCUUUUGCACAGCAGAUAGCAAUUCCUGGAUCCCAGUUCUGCUGA